GAUGAAGAACGUAGUGAAAUGCGAUAAGUAAUGUGAAUUGCAGAAUUCAGUGAAUCAUCGAAUCUUUGAACGCACAUUGCGCCCUCUGGUAUUCCGGGGGGCAUGCCUGUUCGAGCGUCAUUACAACCCUCAAGCUUUGCUUGGUAUUGGACAUUGCCAGUUUCUGGCAGGUCUUAAAAUCAGUGGCGGUGCCAUUUGGCUUCAAGCGUAGUAAUUCUUCUCGCUUUGGAGAUCCAGGUGGUUACUUGCCAAUAACCCCCAAUUUUUUCAGGUUGACCUCGGAUCAGGUAGGGAUACCCGCUGAACUUAAGCAUAUCAAUAAGCGGAGGA
rnacentral:misc_RNA from 1 species